rnacentral:rRNA from 1 species
AUUGAACGCUGGCGGCAAGCCUAACACAUGCAAGUCGAACGAGUGGCGGACGGGUAAGUAAUGUCUGGGAAACUGCCUGAUGGGGGGGGAUAAAUACUGGAAACGGUAGCUACUACCGCAUACCAUCGGAUGUGCCCAGAUGGGAUUAGCUAGUUGGUGGGGUAACGGCUCACCUAGGCGACGAUCCCUAGCUGGUCUGAGAGGAGGACCAGCCACCAUGGAACUGUGACACGGUCCAGACUCCUACGGGAGGCAGCAGUGGGGAAUAUUGCACAAUGGGCGCAAGCCUGAUGCAGCCAUGCCGCGUGUAUGAAGAAGGCCUUCGGGUUGUAAAGUACUUUCAGCGGGGAGGCGUUACCCGCAGAAGAAGCACCGGCUAACUCCGUGCCAGCAGCCGCGGUAAUAC